rnacentral:rRNA from 3 species
UGGGGAAUAUUGCACAAUGGGCGCAAGCCUGAUGCAGCCAUGCCGCGUGUGUGAAGAAGGCCUUCGGGUUGUAAAGCACUUUCAGCGAGGAGGAAGGCAGUCGUGUUAAUAGCACGAUUGAUUGACGUUACUCGCAGAAGAAGCACCGGCUAACUCCGUGCCAGCAGCCGCGGUAAUACGGAGGGUGCAAGCGUUAAUCGGAAUUACUGGGCGUAAAGCGCACGCAGGCGGUUUGUUAAGUCAGAUGUGAAAUCCCCGCGCUUAACGUGGGAACUGCAUUUGAAACUGGCAAGCUAGAGUCUUGUAGAGGGGGGUAGAAUUCCAGGUGUAGCGGUGAAAUGCGUAGAGAUCUGGAGGAAUACCGGUGGCGAAGGCGGCCCCCUGGACAAAGACUGACGCUCAGGUGCGAAAGCGUGGGGAGCAAACAGG